CUAAAGUAGUAGUAGUUAUGUUCUUGAAACUUAAAAAAUUUGGCGGUAUUUUAGUCUAUUCAGAGGAACCUGUCCUAUAAUCGAUAAUCCACGUUGGACCUAACUUAAAUUUGUUUAUCAGUUUGUAUACCGUCGUUAUAAGAAUAUUUUAUUAGAAUAAUAAUUUUCUAGAAUUUUUAUAAAAAUUUAUAUCAGAUCAAGGUGCAGCUUAUGUUUAAGUAGAGAUGGGUUACAAUAAAUAUAUUUAUACGAAUUAGUUUUUGAAAAAAAAUUAUAAAGGUGGAUUUGAAUGUAAAAUUAUAAAGAUAAAUAAUUUGAUUUUAGCU
rnacentral:rRNA from 1 species